rnacentral:rRNA from 1 species
AUGGAUCUCCUCUCGGACGCCCAGCCCCAGUGGCUCCUCGCCGGCGCCGCGCUGCUGCUCGCCACCGUCGCCUUCCUCAGGGUCCUCCUCGGCUCCGGCGGCCGCGGCAAGCGGGCGCCGCCGACGAUCCCGGGGGCGCCCGUCGUGGGCGGGCUCCUGCGCUUCCUGCGGGGCCCCAUCCCGCUCAUCCGGGCCGAGUACGCCCGCCUCGGCCCCGUCUUCACCGUCCCCAUCCUCACCCGCCGGAUCACCUUCCUCAUCGGCCCCGACGUCUCGGCGCACUUCUUCAAGAGCAACGAGUCCGACAUGAGCCAGCAGGAGGUCUACCGCUUCAACGUCCCCACCUUCGGCCCCGGGGUCGUCUUCGACGUCGACUACCAGGUCAGGCAGGAGCAGUUCAGGUUCUUCACCGAGGCGCUCAGGGCCAACAAGCUCCGCAGCUACGUCGACCAGAUGGUUGCCGAGGCCGAGGAGUACUUCUCAAAGUGGGGAGAAAGCGGCACUGUGGAUCUGAAGUAUGAACUGGAGCACCUCAUCAUACUGACUGCUAGCCGAUGCUUGUUGGGAAGGGAAGUGCGAGAAAAAUUGUUUGAUGAUGUUUCUGCUCUCUUCCAUGAUCUUGACAAUGGGAUGCAGCCAAUCAGUGUCAUCUUUCCCUACCUCCCAAUCCCUGCACACCGUCGCCGUGACCAGGCACGGACACGUUUGGCGGAGAUCUUUGCCACGAUCAUCAAGUCCCGCAAGGCCUCUGGACAGUCCGAGGAAGACAUGCUGCAGUGCUUCAUUGAUUCCAAGUACAAGAAUGGCCGCCAGACCACAGAAAGUGAGGUGACUGGGCUACUUAUUGCAGCCCUGUUUGCUGGACAGCACACUAGCUCGAUCACCUCAACCUGGACUGGGGCCUACCUGCUUAAGUUCCAGCAGUACUUUGCAGAGGCUGUUGAGGAGCAGAAGGAGGUCAUGAAGAGGCAUGGUGACAAGAUCGAUCACGACAUAUUGGCAGAGAUGGAUGUCCUCUACCGGUGCAUCAAGGAGGCGCUCCGGCUCCACCCGCCGCUGAUCAUGCUGCUUCGCCAAUCACACUCUGACUUCAGCGUGACCACGAGGGAAGGCAAAGAGUUUGAUAUCCCCAAGGGCCACAUCGUCGCAACAUCUCCUGCUUUCGCUAACAGGCUCCCCCAUAUCUUCAAGAACCCGGACUCGUAUGACCCUGACCGGUUUGCAGCUGGGAGGGAGGAGGACAAGGUUGCGGGUGCCUUCUCGUACAUCUCCUUUGGGGGUGGCAGGCACGGGUGCCUGGGUGAGCCCUUCGCGUACCUGCAGAUCAAGGCGAUAUGGACACACCUCCUGAGGAACUUUGAGUUUGAGCUGGUCUCACCGUUCCCAGAGAACGACUGGAAUGCGAUGGUCGUCGGCAUCAAGGGCGAGGUGAUGGUCAGCUACAAGCGGCGGAAGCUUGUCGUCGACAACUAG